rnacentral:rRNA from 1 species
AUGACGCCGCUGUGCCCGCGGUCCAAUGAUCCACCUAUGUUUGUGUCGGAUCUUAUCCAUGCUGCAACCAGGCCGUGGAAUAUGGAGGUGGUCAGAGAACAUAUGUAUGAGAUGGACGCCGAAGCAGUAGCGAACAUUCCCAUCAGUCAUGUUGCCCAGCCGGAAAGAAUGGAAGAGGAUUUUUCGUAUCACAUUCGUACUGACUUAACAGGAUCCGUCUCCCAUAGUAAUAUUAUGACAGUCUCUCUUGCCCCUUCGUACUUACUUGAAACAGGAAUUUCUUGGUGCUCAACUGCUUAUUCUGCUUUUCCUGGUACCGGUAUAGAUAGAUAG